ensembl:lncRNA
CCCAGACCAGGCAUGAACACCAAAGCUCACUAAUCACAGUGGCGGACAGACGGAGCAAGUCUCAGGAAGAACAAGAGGACCAGUGACCAGGCGGGACCAAAAAGGACGGUGGCAGCCCCUGCAACAGGAGAGAUCUGGGCAACAGCUGCAGCCAAAGCUGCAGCCUGGCCCACAGGGGAGCUGCACGGGGUGCAAGGGGGUGGCUCUGAGCUGGGGCCUCAUCCCAGCUGGCCUCCCCCACUGCCUAGCUGGGGACAGGUCCAGCCUGUGAUGUCCACAAUGCCCCAGGCCUCUGAGCACCACCUGGGCUGACUCGAGAGCCACCUGUUAAUGUCCAGCCCAGAGUGGGAUCCGAGCUACCAUUUGCCCCCCGGGCCCGCAGCAAGGAGCGCGGAAACCCGUUACAACCUCUGCCUUCCCUGUCUGGUCCCCCUGAGGAACGGCUCAAGAAACUGGAGCCAGGACGAGGACCAACCUCAGGUCCUCGUCCCAGAGGCCCUCUUUGGGCAUCUCAUGGAGUUCCCCUUCCUGGCUCACUGCCCCCAGCUGUGGCUCUGCCUGUCCCAUCCAGGACGAACCUGGCCCAUUCCAGGUCUGUGAGCAGUGGAGACUUGCAUCCAAUGAGGACUGCCUUGGGAGGGCACUGUGGCGCUGGAAAGCCAGGGGCUGCGCUGAGCCGCUUGGCACUCUAACCCGAGUCACCCACUUUGAGACAUAGCACCUCUCUCCGCCACCUCGGGGCCUUUCCUGGGCCCCCCACCUUGCUCAGCAUAUGGACAGAGCCCCCUGCUUCCCAUGGCUUCUUCCACGUGAUAUCUGCCCGGCCCUCUGAGCCUUUCUACUUUGAUGACAAGAUGGCUCACCACAUGCUGCUUCUGGGCUUUGGUCACAUUGGCCACCCAAAUCUGGGAAACACGUGCUUCCUGAAUGCUGUGCUGCAGUGUUUGAGCAGCACUGGGUCUCUUCGGGACUUCUCUCUGUGAAGGGACCUCCGGCAAGAGGUGCCUGGAGGGGGCCGAGCCCAAGAGCUCAAUGAAGCCUUUGCAGAUGUGAUUGGUGCUCCGUGGCACCCUGACUCCUGCGAAGCUGUGAAUGGUGCUGGAUGACGAGCUGUCUUCUGGAAACAUGUUCCCUCCUUCUCUGGAUACAGCCAGCAGGAUGCCCACAAGUUCCUGAAGCUCCUCAUGGAGUGGCUGCACCUUGAAAUCAACCAAUGAGGCCGCCGGGCUCCGUCAGUCUUGGCCAACAGUCCAGCUCCCUUCUCCACCCCACCAACGGGCUCUGCUAGAAGAAUCUGAGUUAAGUGAAGAUGACCGAGCCAACCUAACGUGGAAGUGUUACGUGGAGCAAGAGGACAGCAAGACUGUGGACCUGUUUGUGGGCCAGUUGAAAAGUUGUCUCUAGUGCCAGGCCUGUGGGUAUCGUUCCACGACCUUCGAGGUUUUUUGUGACCUGUCCCUGUCCCUCCCCAAGAACAGAUUCACUGGGGGCAAGGUGUCUCUGCAGGAUGGUUUCAGCCUUUUCACCAAGGAAGAACAGCUGGAGUUGGAGAAUGCCCCAGUGUGUGACCAAUGUCGCAGAAAACAUGAAGUACCAAAAAGUUGACAGUACAAAGAUGCCCCCGAAUCCUUGUGCUCCGUGUUAAUCAAUUUUAUGCCUCCGAGGAUCCAUCAAGAAAAGUUCAAUAGGUGUAGACUUCCCACUGCAGCGACGGAGCCUAGGGGACUUCGCCAGAGAUGAAGCCAGAAGCCCCACAGAUCAGACAGCCCCCUCCCUGGCAGGGCAGGGGGUCAGUGGACAUCACUCCAGGGCCCAGGGAGAGCCACCUUCUCAGCAGCAGCCCAGGCCAUCCUGGACACAGGACAUCUGGAGGACAGGUAACCCGACAGGAGCCCCUGCCAGCCCUGCCCUGUGAGGAACCACCAAGCUGCCUCCUAUAAGGACACCAGCAUGACUGCAUCUUAACUAACGACAUCUGCAGAGACCUCAAUUUCUGGAUAAGCUCGCAUUCUAAGCCUCUGAGUGGAUAUGCAGUCUGGGGGGCACUAUUUAACCAAGUACAGAAUCUGUGGGAACAAAUAAAAAAUGGAAUGAAUAGUGAAUUGCAGCUGGGAACAUCAUCUGCUAUGAUGCCUGAGUCAGAACAGCUCAGAGUGUCUUUUUUACACUGUACAAGAAACAGUACAAAUAAAAUAAAUGAUUUCUA